rnacentral:misc_RNA from 1 species
UUUCCGUAGGUGAACCUGCGGAAGGAUCAUUAUUGUAUAACCGAGGUGCGAGGGCUGUCGCUGACCCGCAAGGACGUUCACUCCCCAGUGCCCCCACACACACCCAUCUCACCCCUACGUGCACCACCCCGUGGGCCCCCCUUCGGUUUGUUCGGUGGGGGGCUUACGUUUUCAGCCAAACCCUGAAUGCACUGAACAUUCUACUUUUGGUCUUUUCGAUCAUGCAAUGAAUAAAACUUACAACAACGGAUCUCUUGGACGUCGCAACGACGAACAACC